ACCGGGCCCUUCCCGAAGCCUCCCGGGGUGAACCGGAGCCUCCCCGGGAUCUUUUUGGGGUCUUACCGGGAGCUCCCGGGGCUUUAAAAGCCUUUAACGGGAAGAACCCUCCCGGUUCUCUCCGUUUUGCUUCUUUACCGUUGGAAUUUUGAGGCGAUUUCAGUGGAAAUCGCGGUUAAAUCGGAGCUUUUUUUUGGUUGGGGUUUUUUUUUAAUUAUUAUUAUUAUUAUUUUAUAAUUUUUGGUCCUAUUUAACAACAGCGCUUUUCCCUCGGUUUUUCCCCCCCCCCCUCAGAAUUCCGGCUCUUCCCGAGGAUCAAAACAAAUCAAAAAAAUCCCGGGAUUUGAAGCGCAAGGAGGAGCGGCAUGAAAUUCCAAGGAUUUCUUCCCUCGAGGGAGCUUUUUUGGGUUUUUUCCUUGCGUUUUUCCCUUUGAGCGAGGUCGGAAUCGCCCCAAAAUCCUCCUAAAAUCCGGGCUCCAGGGAAUUCAUCCCUCGGGAAUGCUGGCCCUGAAACCAGGAAUGACUUCAAAGCCAAACCCGGCGUUGGUUUUGUUUUGAUUUUUUUUUUUUUUUUGUUUUUCUUGGCUAAAUUAUUAAUUAGGAAGGCAACAAAAAAUUAAAAAAAAAAAAGAUUUUUGUUGUUUUUUUGGGGUUAUUUUUUGGGGGGGGGGCAAGUGGAGCAACCCCCAAGGACUGACAGCGAUCCCGGCCUCUGGAAUUCCGGCGGCGAGUGGAAUUUUGGGAGCAUCCGCGGGAAUUUUGGGGUUUUUUUUUGGGGGGGGGGGGAUUUUAUUUAAAAAAAAAGGAAUUUAAGGACAAAAAAAAAGUGAAAAAACAAAGGAAAAGGGGAUCGAAAAUUCCUUCCGACCGCUCCUGCUGCGGGAUCCAGGCACGGCUGGGAUUGCUGCUGGCUGAGGUGCCCAUGGCGGGCCGGAAGCGCCGUGCCGGCAGCGCUGGGGGUGGCGUUACCAUGGGUGGCACUGCCAUGGGUGGCACUGCUGUGGGUGGCACUGCCGGUGGCACGGGGUCAAUGCCGUGACCAGAGGAGGUGGCCAAGCCCCAGCACCAGUCCCGCACUGACCCCGU
rnacentral:lncRNA from 1 species